AAGGUAAGAUUUCAAAUCAAUGUAUUUAACUACUCAUACUUUCUUCAAGUCAUCAUGAUUAUGAUAACGAUUGGCCUAUAGCAAGCUCCAAAAGAGACUAACUCCUAAUUAUAAUAUGCUACCAAUCAAUAAACACCAGUAAUCCGUCAAAUUGGAGAUUAGAAGGAGACUAACUCUAAAAUCAUAUAGAACAACAUGCUUGCAACAACUUGUACCAGUGAUCGCCCCAUAAUUAGUGUGGUUCAGAAGUAAUAUAGCUCCUAACUAUAACAUGCUGCAAAUUGGCAUGUACCAACGAUCGCCCCACUCGAGGUCAAGAAGGAAACUAGAUAUUCCUGACCCAU
rnacentral:lncRNA from 1 species